rnacentral:rRNA from 1 species
CAGUAGCCGCGGUAAUACGAAGGGUGCAAGCGUUAAUCGGAAUUACUGGGCGUAAAGCGUGCGUAGGCGGUUUGUUAAGUCUGUUGUGAAAUCCCCGGGCUCAACCUGGGAAUGGCAAUGGAUACUGGCAAGCUAGAGUGUGUCAGAGGAUGGUGGAAUUCCCGGUGUAGCGGUGAAAUGCGUAGAGAUCGGGAGGAACAUCAGUGGCGAAGGCGGCCAUCUGGGACAACACUGACGCUGAGGCACGAAAGCGUGGGGAGCAAACAGGAUUAGAGACCCGUGUAGUCCCUGUCUCUUAUAA